rnacentral:rRNA from 1 species
UGGGGAAUAUUGCGCAAUGGGGGGCAACCCUGACGCAGCAACGCCGCGUGCGGGAUGAAGGCUUUCGGGUUGUAAACCGCUUUCAGCAGGGAUGACAUCGACAGUACCUGCAGAAGAAGCCCCGGCUAACUACGUGCC